rnacentral:misc_RNA from 1 species
AAUAUUAAUAAUGUUUUCAUUUGAGAUCAUUGCCCUUCAUGCCAAAAUUAUUGGUUGGAAAGGGAACAAAAGGUUUAUAAGUUGAGAUUAAAGGAGAACUGGUCCACCUAAGUUUCUGAUGCCCCUGUAUGCUGUGUUGACGAUAUGUGUAACUGUGUUUGAGUUUCCGCGUUAAUUACUUUUACAAUGAUUUUACUGGAUGGAAGAUAUUUUCAUUUCUCUCUUGUUA